rnacentral:rRNA from 1 species
GUGGGGAAUAUUGCACAAUGGAGGAAACUCUGAUGCAGCAACGCCGCGUGAAGGAUGACGGCCUUCGGGUUGUAAACUUCUUUGGCAGGGGACGAAGACAGUGACGGUACCCUGAGAACAAGCCACGGCUAACUACGUGCCAGCAGCCGCGGUAAUACGUAGGUGGCAAGCGUUGUCCGGAUUUACUGGGUGUAAAGGGCGUGUAGGCGGGUCAGCAAGUCAGAUGUGAAAUCCCGAGGCUUAACUUCGGAACUGCAUCUGAAACUGCCGAUCUUGAGUACUGGAGAGGAAAGUGGAAUUCCUAGUGUAGCGGUGAAAUGCGUAGAGAUUAGGAGGAACACCAGUGGCGAAGGCGGCUUUCUGGACAGUAACUGACGCUGAGGCGCGAAAGCGUGGGGAGCAAACAGG